GCAAGUCGAGCGAACGGACGAGAAGCUUGCUUCUCUGAUGUUAGCGGCGGACGGGUGAGUAACACGUGGAUAACCUACCUAUAAGACUGGGAUAACUUCGGGAAACCGGAGCUAAUACCGGAUAAUAUUUUGAACCGCAUGGUUCAAAAGUGAAAGACGGUCUUGCUGUCACUUAUAGAUGGAUCCGCGCUGCAUUAGCUAGUUGGUAAGGUAACGGCUUACCAAGGCAACGAUGCAUAGCCAACCUGAGAGGGUGAUCGGCCACACUGGAACUGAGACACGGUCCAGACUCCUACGGGAGGCAGCAGUAGGGAAUCUUCCGCAAUGGGCGAAAGCCUGACGGAGCAACGCCGCGUGAGUGAUGAAGGUCUUCGGAUCGUAAAACUCUGUUAUUAGGGAAGAACAUAUGUGUAAGUAACUGUGCACAUCUUGACGGUACCUAAUCAGAAAGCCACGGCUAACUACGUGCCAGCAGCCGCGGUAAUACGUAGGUGGCAAGCGUUAUCCGGAAUUAUUGGGCGUAAAGCGCGCGUAGGCGGUUUUUUAAGUCUGAUGUGAAAGCCCACGGCUCAACCGUGGAGGGUCAUUGGAGACUGGAAAACUUGAGUGCAGAAGAGGAAAGUGGAAUUCCAUGUGUAGCGGUGAAAUGCGCAGAGAUAUGGAGGAACACCAGUGGCGAAGGCGACUUUCUGGUCUGUAACUGACGCUGAUGUGCGAAAG
rnacentral:rRNA from 1 species